rnacentral:rRNA from 1 species
GACGAACGCUGGCGGCGUGCUUAACACAUGCAAGUCGAACGGAAAGGCCCUGCUUUUGUGGGGUGCUCGAGUGGCGAACGGGUGAGUAUCACGUGUGUAUCCUGCCCUUGACUUUGGGAUAACUUCAGGAAACUGGGGCUAAUACAGGAUAGGAGCUCCUGCUGCAUGGUGGGCGUUGGAAAGUCUCGGCGGUUGGGGAUGGACUCGCGGCUUAUCGGCUUGCUGGUGGGGGAGUGGAUUACCAACGCUUAGGCGGGUAGCCCGCACGAGAAGGUGAACGGGCACCAUGGGACUGCGGUAGGGCGCAGACUGCAACGUUGGACAGUAGUGGGCAGUCUGGCCCAGUCGUCGGGCGUCUGAUGCAGCGGCGUCGCGUUCGUGAUGACCGCUUUUGGGUUGUAAACCGCUUUCGCUUGAGACGAAGCUUUUGUGACGGUAAUCGGUGAAGAAGCACCGGCUAACUACGUG